GGGCAAAAAAGCCUAAUAAAAUGCAAAGGUGAAAUAAAGUGAUUUAAGAUCCUGGAGCAGAAUGGAGCGGCGGAUCGUGGAACAAACCAUGUGAGUGCCCUCUGCCCAUGCCUGGAAGCUCGUGAAGUCGGCCUAAGCGUGACAUUACACAAUGCGAUUACAUUUCUACAAAUUAUUAGUUUCUAUAGAAUAUGAACUAACGUGCUUACAGACGUGUCUUCUCUGGGGGUCUGUGGGUAAGAAAUGUUAUUUUAGCAUCUGUUCUUUUAAGGCUAUUUGCUCUGGGAAGGCAGUGUGUUUUGCCAUAAAUUUAGGUCAUUAAUUUGUAUCUGUUCUUUGUUUAUUUAAGAAACAGGACAAAAGGGCAGCUGCUGAAACAUUUGGCUGUGCCGAGGGGUAGUGGGCUCGACAUGCUGGAGUUCUGCACAUGACCAGCUUGAGUUUGUAUCCACAGCUACAGGACAGAACUUUAUGGAAACGCUUUGCCAAGCCAUGUGGUGCUCGGCUUCCCUUUGCAUCAAUACCCUUUUAAUUACCUGAUCCUGAGGGGGAAAAAGUUAGGGAAAAGUGUCAGUGCAAAAGCCUAGGAACCUGCCGAGAAUCAGACUUCUUUAAAGAAACAGCAUGAUAAAAUGUCUGGCAAUUAUUCUACAGGACAUCGAUAUAAAUCCUGCAACUGGCCUGCAAAGAUGCUCUCUUUUGAAGAAGUCAUAACCGAAAAUGUGGUUGGAACUCAGGACUGCUCUUGCAGUUCAACAUCAGCUGCAGGCCCUUCCCUGGAACACUCUGGAAGUCUGAGGAACCUGCAGGCACCUGUGGUUGCUGGAGCUCUCUUCUCCAGAGGCAGCAGGCAGUUCUCUGUGGAGGGACCCAGAUGGUCUGCAUUCAAGAAUGUAAGAAAGGCCCUUAAGCAAGACCUGUCUUUUAUUUUCUCUUGCCCAGUCUUUGGAUUCAUCAUUAGGGUCGCAGGCAAACCCCCGAAAUCUUGCUCUCAUAAUAAAUGUGAAUUUCAUUCAAAGAAAGAACGUGUUCUUUCCCAUCAUUGCAUUGUUUUGUGGUCAGGUAGUGUAGAGGAAAAUUUAAGAAAUAUCAAGCCACAUGAUUCCUGGGAAUAGCUGAAAAGAUCCUUUUCAACGUUGGUGGGAAAAGAAAGAAAAACAAAUCAAUUAGAUGUGAGAUCUCAUCAGAUUUCUUAUAUUCUGAGACUGUGUUUAGAGAAGACGACACGGGAAAAAAUGCUUCUUGAAUAUGCGCAUAGCAGUAACUUGGUAUUGCACGUAUACUAUCUUAAGUUCAUUAACAAACAAUUGGGUGGCUCCUAAAGCAUCUUAUCUACACAGCACCUACUACAGGUAUAGAAAUAUGCUAGAUAUGAAUACUAUCUGGAAAAUACAGCGAUUUUUAAAAGUCUUAUGGUGGAACUUUGAUGUACCAAGUUUGGCAUACCUAGACUCAUUCUGUAGGCUUAGAUUAAUUUAAAACUAUUUUUUUUUUUUUGUAAACCAAGGGAAACCUAAUUGAAAUUAUUCUAAAACAAAGGGAGAAAUCCUCAGAAUUUAUCAGUCUUAAGGAAACUGAUCAACAUUUCACCACUGAUCUCGGCACAAAGCACUUUGCACUGGUCCCACCCCAUCAUUAUGUUUCAGUUCUAUUCAUCUCUUGAUGCUUUUCUUUUCAUCUGACCCCUAUCCUGACUCCUGUAUUCUCCCAGACUGUCUCCUACUCCCCAAGGGUUUAGUGAAUUUAAAAAGCACACACACAUAAAAAGAUGCUGGAUUCCCAAUACCAGCAUAGCCAAAAGGCAUCUAUCUAGUUCUUUAUUGGGCUCUCAUUGGCUAUAACAAAGCAUUUCAUACGUAGAUACUGGAUUCCCAAUACUCUAGCAUAGCCAAAAGGCAUCUAUCUAGUUCUUUAUUGGGCUCUCAUUGGCUGUAACAAAGCAUUUCAUAUGUAUAAAGAAAAUGCUAUAUUUCUAAUAGAGAGAGAAGAUCUGAGGCUCUCUUCUACUACCUAUACCUCUUCCAUUCUCUAGUCUUGCUCACUUUUCAGUUCUACCCCAAUAUCCCUUGACUGCUAAGUUCCUCCACUUUUCUCUGUGUCUUUUCCUCCCUCACCCAGUUCAGAUGCUCCACAUCUGAUCACCAUCCCCAGGGUGGCUGUGGCCUUUGGGAUGCAGUCUAGGUGUUAAAGGAAUGAUUAUUCAUUGUGAUCUCCUCCUCCCCUUAUAGAGGCUCUACUCCCUAGAGAAGAGUUUGGCAGCAUUUUUCUCAAAGUGGAUUAAAAAAUGCAUCACACUUUAAAAAAAACCCACAUGGCAUCUCUCAGGAGACUUCUUCUGAUGCAGGUUCCAUUUCUGUCAAGAGAAGAUGCAGUGUUGUAGCGGAAAAAGCAUUCAGCCCGGACUCAGGAGAACACCCUUCCAAUCCUGGCUCUGCUAAUUAUAAUACUAACUGGGGAUCUUGUACAAGUCACUUAUCUCUCUUGGGGGUCCUAGGUCCCCAGUGUAAGAGGUUGAGACUAGUGACCAUCCAAGGUCCUUCCAGCUCUGAAAGGAGCCUUUCAUCAAAACUAGGAUUUGAUGCCGAUGAGUAGGCAAUUCUACCCUCUUGGUAUUUUACCUGCAAAUCAUAAAUUGUAUCCCGUUUGCCAAGGUUUUGCUAGAAAGAACAUCUAAUAAUCUAACAUCUAAUAAUAAUAAUAAUCUAAUCUAACAUCUAAUAAUCAUUUAGAGUACAACUUCCCUUCAGAAAUAGGUUUUUUUGCCGGGCGCGGUGGCUCAAGCCUGUAAUCCCAGCACUUUGGGAGGCCGAGACGGGCGGAUCACGAGGUCAGGAGAUCGAGACCAUCCUGGCGAACACCGUGAAACCCCGUCUCUACUAAAAAUACAAAAAAACUAGCCGGGCGAGGUGGCGGGUGCCUGUAGUCCCAGCUACUCCGGAGGCUGAGGCAGGAGAAUGGCGUGAACCCGGGAGGCGGAGCUUGCAGUGAGCUGAGAUCCGGCCACUGCACUCCAGCCUGGGCGACAGAGCGAGACUCCGUCUCAAAAAUAAAAAAAAGGAAAAAAAAAAAAAAAGAAAUAGGUUUUUUUGGAAAGUUUGAACCAACAUGCUUCCUCUUCUGGCAACGCCUAUAUAGUGAGGGGCAAUAGAUUGAAAAAAAGGGUCAACCUCGUAAUUUUGUCUGCAUUUUUGGUGAACACUGGAAAGUAUAAGGCUUAUUCUGAGAAAUCACCCUAAAAAAGAAAUAUUUUCUUUCUGAUUCUACAGCUACAGUUAGAUCAACCCAUCAUUCUCUCUACUUAU
ensembl:lncRNA